GAUUCAGGUCUGAUCUAGUUGGGUACCAGAUCUUGGAUUUUUUAGAGGUAGUUUCAGAGGCAUUCUUCAUCUGAAACGAAAGGCUGACAAAGAAGACAGCAACCAGGCUGAUUUCGUCAAGGGCCUUGGAUCGUGUCCAGAAGUCUCCAGAUCUGUUCGUUGCUGGUUCUACUGCACCCAAGGUCUGUGGGAGGAGCCAGGAUCAUACUCCAAUACACAGAUCAUCUGACCUCUACAGAUCGUCCACUUGAAGCUCUGAUCGGAUCUUCCUUGAUGGGAGUGCUAGCUCACGUCGAAGGCUCUAGAUGGUUGAUCCAAGCUCUUUUCUUUCGAUCUUUCGAACUCCUUCACAUUAAAAGAUGAAGCUUUACAAGGAGAUGAUAGUGUGAAAGAUUGAACAAGACUCACUCUUGUAUUUUUCUUCUCACAAAAUCUAGAGUUGAAACCCUAGAACCCACCCUACACCUCACGCC
rnacentral:lncRNA from 1 species